rnacentral:rRNA from 1 species
GAUGAACGCUGGCGGCGUGCUUAACACAUGCAAGUCGAACGGAAAGGCCGAAGCUUGCUUCGGUACUCGAGUGGCGAACGGGUGAGUAACACGUGGGUGAUCUGCCCUGUACUUCGGGAUAAGCUUGGGAAACUGGGUCUAAUACCGGAUAUGACGAUCUCUUGGAUGGGGUUGUGGGAAGCUUUUGCGGUAUGGGAUGAGCGCGCGGCGUAUCAGCUUGUGGGUGGGGUAAUGGCCUACCAAGGCGUCGACGGGUAGCCGGCCUGAGAGUGGGUACGGCCACAGUGGGAGUGUGAUACGGGCCAGACUCCUACGGGAGGCAGAAGUGGGGAAUAUUGCACAAUGGGGGCACGCCUGAUGCAGCGAAGCCGCGUGGGGGAUGACGGCCUUUGGGUUGUAAAAUCCUUUCGCACUCGACGAAGCCUUUUGGUGACGGUAGGUUGAGAAGAAGCACCGGCUAACUACGUG